rnacentral:rRNA from 1 species
AUUGAACGCUGGCGGCAUGCCUUACACAUGCAAGUCGAACGGCAGCACGGGGGCAACCCUGGUGGCGAGUGGCGAACGGGUGAGUAAUACAUCGGAACGUGUCCUGUAGUGGGGGAUAGCCCGGCGAAAGCCGGAUUAAUACCGCAUACGCUCUACGGAGGAAAGGGGGGGAUCUUAGGACCUCCCGCUACAGGGGCGGCCGAUGGCAGAUUAGCUAGUUGGUGGGGUAAAGGCCUACCAAGGCGACGAUCUGUAGCUGGUCUGAGAGGACGACCAGCCACACUGGGACUGAGACACGGCCCAGACUCCUACGGGAGGCAGCAGUGGGGAAUUUUGGACAAUGGGGGCAACCCUGAUCCAGCAAUGCCGCGUGUGUGAAGAAGGCCUUCGGGUUGUAAAGCACUUUUGUCCGGAAAGAAAACGCCGUGGUUAAUACCCGUGGCGGAUGACGGUACCGGAAGAAUAAGCACCGGCUAACUACGUGCCAGCAGCCGCGGUAAUACGUAGGGUGCAAGCGUUAAUCGGAAUUACUGGGCGUAAAGCGUGCGCAGGCGGUCCGCUAAGACAGAUGUGAAAUCCCCGGGCUUAACCUGGGAACUGCAUUUGUGACUGGCGGGCUAGAGUAUGGCAGAGGGGGGUAGAAUUCCACGUGUAGCAGUGAAAUGCGUAGAGAUGUGGAGGAAUACCGAUGGCGAAGGCAGCCCCCUGGGCCAAUACUGACGCUCAUGCACGAAAGCGUGGGGAGCAAACAGG